rnacentral:rRNA from 1 species
UCCUGGCUAGGACGAACGCUGGCGGCGUGCCUAACACAUGCAAGUCGAACGGACGAGAGGAGCUUGCUCCUCAAGUUAGUGGCGGACGGGUGAGUAACACGCGAGCAACCUGCCCUUCGGAGGGGGACAACAGCUGGAAACGGCUGCUAAUACCGCAUGAUACAGUCUGGAGGCAUCUCCGGGCUGUCAAAGAUUUUAUCGCCGAAGGAUGGGCUCGCGUCUGAUUAGAUAGUUGGUGGGGUAACGGCUCACCAAGUCGACGAUCAGUAGCCGGACUGAGAGGUUGAACGGCCACAUUGGGACUGAGAUACGGCCCAGACUCCUACGGGAGGCAGCAGUGGGGAAUAUUGGGCCAAUGGGGGCAACCCUGACCCAGCAACGCCGCGUGGAGGAAGAAGGCUUUCGGGUUGUAAACUCCUUUGACGAGGGACGAUAGUGACGGUACCUCGAAAACAAGCCACGGCUAACUACGUGCCAGCCGCCGC